rnacentral:sRNA from 1 species
UAAAGAACAGUAUUCGGUGUCAUUUAU